GACUGUUUCCGUGACUACUGAAUGAAUCAGUGAUGAAAAGAAAUCAUUAACUACACUUCUACCACGAAGGUGUCCUACAGCAGCCGUCACAGACUUAUUCUGACAGACUCGUUGUAAUUUUAUAGCUGUAGUGUCCACUGGCACCAGUGCAAACCAGAGCUACUAACAAGAGAAACAUGACAGAGUUUGCUACAGGACUUAUGAUUGGGGCUGCUGAAGCAGAGGAAGCAAUUCAGAGAAGGAAGGAGCUCUAUAGACAGGACCUGCUGGAGCAAAUAGCGGAACAACGCAGAAAUAGGAAAAAGGAAAAGGAACUCGAAUUGAAAGUUGCUGCUACAGGAGCUAUUGACCCGGAGAAGAAG